AUUCCGUGUCACUAUACGCUUCGACACUAGAAUGUCUUUGACACAUUUUUGAAUUUCGAACAUGGUUUGCCGCGUAAUAGUAUCGUUAAGAGUUAUAUUCAAUUAUCUAGUAUGAUUGUGCAUACUGCCAUGCUUAUUAUAAGUACAGUUGUGAGGCAUUGAUAAAAUAAUUAGCGUAUGAGAUGGGAAGACGAAGAAUCAAGAAAAUAGCGGGGCAACUAUGGACUCGUAUAGCAAAAGACAGGACAGAAUGGAAAUCUUUGAAGGUGGUCUUUCGGAAGACAAGCUAUACCGAAGUACAGACCGUUUGCCGAUAUUAUUUAGAGGAAUGUGAGGUUUGUGCGCCAUGGAAUGCCUGCGACGUAAAAACUACUAACCGACUAUAUAAUACAACUGCGCUGGAGGAUACUCUGUUUAAAAUUG